rnacentral:tRNA from 1 species
GGGGGCAUGGCGGAAUGGUAGACGCUGCGGACUUAAAAUCCGUUGAUCGAUGAGAUCGUGAGGGUUCAAGUCCCUCUGCCCCCA